UAACUCUGGGAUAAGCCUGGGAAACUGGGUCUAAUACCGGAUAUGACUCCUCAUCGCAUGGUGGGGGGUGGAAAGCUUUUUGUGGUUUUGGAUGGACUCGCGGCCUAUCAGCUUGUUGGUGAGGUAAUGGCUCACCAAGGCGACGACGGGUAGCCGGCCUGAGAGGGUGACCGGCCACACUGGGACUGAGACACGGCCCAGACUCCUACGGGAGGCAGCAGUGGGGAAUAUUGCACAAUGGGCGCAAGCCUGAUGCAGCGACGCCGCGUGAGGGAUGACGGCCUUCGGGUUGUAAACCUCUUUCAGUAGGGAAGAAGCGAAAGUGACGGUACCUGCAGAAGAAGCGCCGGCUAACUACGUGCCAGCAGCCGCGGUAAUACGUAGGGCGCAAGCGUUAUCCGGAAUUAUUGGGCGUAAAGAGCUCGUAGGCGGUUUGUCGCGUCUGCCGUGAAAGUCCGGGGCUCAACUCCGGAUCUGCGGUGGGUACGGGCAGACUAGAGUGAUGUAGGGGAGACUGGAAUUCCUGGUGUAGCGGUGAAAUGCGCAGAUAUCAGGAGGAACACCGAUGGCGAAGGCAGGUCUCUGGGCAUUAACUGACGCUGAGGAGCGAAAGCAUGGGGAGCGAACAGGAUUAGAUACCCUGGUAGUCCAUGCCGUAAACGUUGGGCACUAGGUGUGGGGGACAUUCCACGUUUUCCGCGCCGUAGCUAACGCAUUAAGUGCCCCGCCUGGGGAGUACGGCCGCAAGGCUAAAACUCAAAGGAAUUGACGGGGGCCCGCACAAGCGGCGGAGCAUGCGGAUUAAUUCGAUGCAACGCGAAGAACCUUACCAAGGCUUGACAUGGGCCGGACCGGGCUGGAAACAGUCCUUCCCCUUUGGGGCCGGUUCACAGGUGGUGCAUGGUUGUCGUCAGCUCGUGUCGUGAGAUGUUGGGUUAAGUCCCGCAACGAGCGCAACCCUCGUUCCAUGUUGCCAGCGCGUAAUGGCGGGGACUCAUGGGAGACUGCCGGGGUCAACUCGGAGGAAGGUGGGGACGACGUCAAAUCAUCAUGCCCCUUAUGUCUUGGGCUUCACGCAUGCUACAAUGGCCGGUACAAAGGGUUGCGAUACUGUGAGGUGGAGCUAAUCCCAAAAAGCCGGUCUCAGUUCGGAUUGGGGUCUGCAACUCGACCCCAUGAAGUCGGAGUCGCUAGUAAUCGCAGAUCAGCAACGCUGCGGUGAAUACGUUCCCGGGCCUUGUACACACCGCCCGUCAAGUCACGAAA
rnacentral:rRNA from 1 species